rnacentral:rRNA from 1 species
UACAGAGGGGGCAAGCGUUGUUCGGAAUUACUGGGCGUAAAGGGCGCGUAGGCGGCCUACUAAGUCGAACGUGAAAUCCCCGGGCUUAACCCGGGAACUGCGUCCGAUACUGAUUGGGCUUGAAUCCGGGAGAGGGAUGUGGAAUUCCAGGUGUAGCGGUGAAAUGCGUAGAUAUCUGGAGGAACACCGGUGGCGAAGGCGGCAUCCUGGACCGGUAUUGACGCUGAGGCGCGAAGGCCAGGGGAGCAAACGGG